rnacentral:rRNA from 1 species
CCUACGGGAGGCAGCAGUAGGGAAUCUUCCACAAUGGGCGAAAGCCUAAUGGAGCAACGCCGCGUGGGUGAAGAAGGUCUUCGGAUCGUAAAACCCUGUUGUUAGAGAAGAAAGUGCGUGAGAGUAACUGUUCACGUUUCGACGGUAUCUAACCAGAAAGCCACGGCUAACUACGUGCCAGCAGCCGCGGUAAUACGUAGGUGGCAAGCGUUAUCCGGAUUUAUUGGGCGUAAAGGGAACGCAGGCGGUCUUUUAAGUCUGAUGUGAAAGCCUUCGGCUUAACCGGAGUAGUGCAUUGGAAACGGGGAGACUUGAGUGCAGAAGAGGAGAGUGGAACUCAAUGGGUAGCGGUGAAAUGCGUAGAUAUAUGGAAGAACACCAGUGGCGAAAGCGGCUUUCUGGUCUGUAACUGACGCUGAGGUUCGAAAGCGUGGGUAGCAAACAGGAUUAGAUACCCUAGUAGUC